rnacentral:tRNA from 1 species
GCCUGGCUGGCUCAGUCAGUAGAGCAUGAGACUCUUGAUCCUGGGGUGGUGAGUUCAAGCCCCAUGUUGGGCA